rnacentral:lncRNA from 1 species
GUGUCCAGUUUUGAAGUAACUAAGUUACAUCAAGCUGUAGAAGAAGUGGGAAGGCAGGUUCUUACCCACAAGUCUGUUGCUGAGGUUUCUGAGGAGAGCACUAGAACUGAGGAUGAUCCCAGGCAUGAUGGCCAGCCGGGUCAGAGCAGCCCUGCUGGCUGUGCAGAGGGGGAGGAUGAACUCCCCGAUCUCAUUGCCCUGUCAUCAUUGAACAAGGAGUUCAGGCCUUUCAGGUAUAGUUUUGUUUGCUUUUACCAUUAAUCUUGAGAUCUUUGAUUCUGUGAAGGGGGCAUAUUUGAAA